rnacentral:rRNA from 1 species
GAUGAACGCUGGCGGCGUGCCUAAUACAUGCAAGUCGAGCGAAUGGAUUAAGAGCUUGCUCUUAUGAAGUUAGCGGCGGACGGGUGAGUAACACGUGGGUAACCUGCCCAUAAGACUGGGAUAACUCCGGGAAACCGGGGCUAAUACCGGAUAACAUUUUGAACCGCAUGGUUCGAAAUUGAAAGGCGGCUUCGGCUGUCACUUAUGGAUGGACCCGCGUCGAAUUAGCUAGUUGGUGAGGUAACGGCUCACCAAGGCAACGAUGCGUAGCCGACCUGAGAGGGUGAUCGGGCACGAUGGGACUGAGACACGGCCCAGACUCCUACGGGAGGCAGCAGUAGGGAAUCUUCCGCAAUGGACGAAAGUCUGACGGAGCAGCGCCGCGUGAGUGAUGAAGGCUUUCGGGUCGUAAAACUCUGUUGUUAGGGAAGAACAAGUGCUAGUUGAAUAAGCUGGCACCUUGACGGUACCUAACCAGAAAGCCACGGCUAACUACGUGCCAGCAGCCGCAGUAA